GAUUAUCAAUUACGCAUAAAAAAUAGUAUCAUUAAAUCUCUAUUAAAUAACAAAACCAAAAUAUAACAAAAUUGACGUAGAUAAAAAUAGGAUACUAGUAAGAACUAAUAGUAAACAAUAUUGUUUUUAGACUAAAAAUUGACGACAGGUCAUUUGACCUGUUGGCUGUUGAUAACGUCCACGUUUUAUCUUCUUGCCUACGGGUAUUAUUAUUCAAUUUUACGCUCACAAUCAACUUUUGUACGUCAAAACAAUGUUAUGAUGACGUAAUUUAGGGAUGAAGUAAACAAAAAAAAUAGUAUUUAACGGUCAGUAAAAUGAAAUUCAAAUCAUAACUCCAAACUCUGUCUUACAGUUUGAUACAACUGAAAAAACCAAAAACUUCGAAAAUUAUUCGGUUUUAUAUACAAUACUAAAAUCAUAAGAUUCGAAAAAUUUUAUUUAAAAAAUAUGGAUAUGAAAUUAUUGAUUUUAUGUUCGACAUUCAUGUAUAUUAGUUUUAUUAUCUUGCCCGGAAAUUCAUAUGUGAUUGAAAAGAAUAAUGAUAAUGAAUCGAAGAAAAGUGAAGAAAAUGACUUGCUUCACGAUGAAAUUUUCGCUAAGCUUAUCGAGGAAUAUACAAAUGAAUCAAAAGCUAAAGAAAACGAUUUCUCUGAGCAAAAAGUUGUUGCACUGAUGUCCGUCGGUCAUAUUGAUGAUAUUCCUGAUCCUAAAGAUAAUACAUGUGGACCAGGAGAAGAUGUUCUGCCCGAUGGAUCAUG